rnacentral:rRNA from 1 species
CAGUAGCCGCGGUAAUACGAAGGGGGCUAGCGUUGCUCGGAAUUACUGGGCGUAAAGGGAGCGUAGGCGGACAUUUAAGUCAGGGGUGAAAUCCCAGAGCUCAACUCUGGAACUGCCUUUGAUACUGGGUGUCUUGAGUGUGAUAGAGGUAUGUGGAACUCCGAGUGUAGAGGUGAAAUUCGUAGAUAUUCGGAAGAACACCAGUGGCGAAGGCGACAUACUGGAUCAUUACUGACGCUGAGGCUCGAAAGCGUGGGGAGCAAACAGGAUUAGAUACCCCUGUAGUCCCUGUCUCUUAUAC